rnacentral:rRNA from 1 species
CCGGCGACCGGCGCACGGGUGAGUAACACGUAUGCAACCUGGCCGUCACAGGUGGAUAACCGGAAGAAAUCCCGACUAAUACAGCAUAACACUCCUGAGGGACAUCCCUUGGGAGUCAAAGGAGGCAACUCCGGUGACGGAUGGGCAUGCGGCGCAUUAGGUAGUUGGUAGGGUAACGGCCUACCAAGCCGACGAUGCGUAGGGGUUCUGAGAGGAAGGUCCCCCACAUUGGAACUGAGACACGGUCCAAACUCCUACGGAAGGCAGCAG